UCCAGCUCGGCCGGAAACAUCAACUGUGUAUUCCACUCCAUGAAUCCUGCCUGGCUUGCUAAAGUUCACCUCAUUUAAGCCGGGUUCUUUUGAGACCCUGACCCGGAGUCACACGCUGACUAUGGUUCUUUGCGGGAAUGGGACCCGCUCUCGGGGUUCCACAUUCAGCCGCAAUUCGGCAUGCCAAAGUCUCAGCCCAAGAUUUCGGGUUUCUGAAGCCUGGGAUUGCGAGUAACUGGUGACGGGCAAAUCAAGGGUCUGUGUGGCCACAGGAGAUCCGUGUGUCGGUGGGGGAGUCAGAUCAUCUACUGUGUGCCUGGGGUCCCAGGAUCCAGGCUCGGAGCGGACUUCCAACGACGUGAAGCACUACCGUACAAGUGUCCACCACCCCACCGGCUUUCUGUAGCCCCUGGAGAACUAUGAGUUGCCUCUAUCCCUUCGCUGUGUGUUGUGAAGCGCCGUUCUACCUGUCAGCCGGUGUUUACUCACCACAGCGUGAUAACGAGACGCUCACCGGCCAAUUACCAUGAGAGAGACGCUGAAACCCUCCACGGCAGCCUUUCUCAACUUCUUUUGCCCUGGAAAUAACUUUCAGAUCUCAGGGAACCCCUGCGUAAAAAUAUUAUAUCUACAGCUCACAAUACAAUAUGGUAAUAAUAAUCCAAAAUUAAUUGUCAGUGUUCUUUUGAGUGGAGAAUGA